UACGUAGGUGGCAAGCGUUGUCCGGAAUUAUUGGGCGUAAAGCGCGCGCAGGCGGUCCUUUAAGUCUGAUGUGAAAGCCCACGGCUCAACCGUGGAGGGUCAUUGGAAACUGGGGGACUUGAGUGCAGAAGAGGAAAGCGGAAUUCCACGUGUAGCGGUGAAAUGCGUAGAGAUGUGGAGGAACACCAGUGGCGAAGGCGGCUUCUGGUCUGUAACUGACGCUGAGGCGCGAAGCGUGGGGAGCAAACAGG
rnacentral:rRNA from 1 species